UGCAUUUCUAACAAGCUCCCAGGAGGUGCUGAUCUGGACUAUGCACCACAGUGAGAAGCAAGAAUCUAGACCAGCACUCUGCAAACUGGAAUAGGAUACGUGAAACUUCCAAGCCUCCUGCAGCGCCUCCCUGGGUCUCAUCACAAGCAAAGUAUAAAGUGUUUUUGUCAGAAGCUUCCUUUUGCUCCAGACCCAUCCCUACCCCAGGAAGCCUGUCCAGCAUUGCUGUCUCCUUCCAGUGACUGAAAAUGUUCACCAAGCAAGGAUGUUGGAUGAUGAUAUGGACUGGGUUGGUGGCCACAGCAGGCUUGACUCUUCAGGGGCCAGAGAGAGUCCAAGAUUCAGGAAGCUGGACAACAGAUGGACAGAUCCCAGAAGGCUCGCUCUCCCCACCCUCCAGCAGCCAUAAUUAAUGUCUUCUAUUUCUUCCCUUCUGCCGGACAAAGCAAAACACACACUAACAGUGUUAACACGAUAAAUAUCAGCAGUCCUGACCUUUGUCUCUGCGUCCUGGAGUCGCCCUGACUCCCGAGCUCCAAGUUGCCUGUGCUUAACGUGGAUUAGCACUUGCGGUAGGCUGCGGGGCCCUGCACUAGGGCUUGAUGGGAAUCAAAAUAGAGAUUACCUUAUUUGACUUAAAAAAAAAUUUUUCCACUUGAAAGAUAGAAUCCCCCAGAGAAAUACACUGGGGCUUACACAUACACAACUUUAAAUUGGAUUUUAAAAAUAGUCUGCCAGCUGUUUGCUAGGUCAUGCCUUAGGUUCUUGUCCUUGAUUGAUGUUGGGUCCAUUUGGGAAACGAGGCCAAGAGGGGACAGAGGGACUGCCAAAGCCACAGGAUCCUGGAUGCCUGGGGACUUUCCCAGGAGCCCUGGCAGUUGUUGCCAUGGGCCUUUAGAAACCCUCGGAGCCCUGGCCCCAGGGUCUGCGUCUCGCCCAGAGCUUGAACGACCUCCCCCAGACCUCACCUCAUCCCUGCCUUGCUACUUCUAGGCCGAGUCUGGGGAAAAAAAGAAAGAGAGAAAAGAAAUGAAGGCAGACUGUUCUCAGCUGGAUGGCUCUUUCACAUUUUUUGUGGUUAAAUAUUUAUUUUAGCUCCUUGUAACACCUUCAAGUGAUACAUACACGGGCCCUCUGCCCAGAACUCUCAUCGCCCUCCUCUGUACCGGUCUGCCUGCUCUUCACAUCUCAGCUAUCAGCCAGAAUGCCACUUUCUUAGGGAAGCCUGAGGGGCAGAGUGUGGUGCUUAAGGACACCAGCGUGCCCAGGUUUGAAUCCUGGCUCAGCACUUCCUCGCUGUGUGACCUUGGGCUAGUCACUUAAUCCCCCGUGUCCUUUAACUUCCUCAGCUGCAAAAUGGGGAUAAUGAUAGCACCUACCUCAUCAGGGUUGUGAGGAUUCAGUGAAUUGACUUAUGGUGUACAGACAGAAUGCGUAAAGUGCUUCGAACCUGGUCCAACACGCAGUAAGCGCCUGUUAUUACUCUCUGAAGUACAGCUAUCUCCCAAGGCUCUGUGGUUGUCUGCUGCCAUGUGCUCCCUUAGCCACCUGUACUUCUGUGCGCCACCUGCCCUGGUUUAUCCGUAUUGCUUAAUUUUGUUUUCUCCACCAUGUCGCUCUUGCUCUCCACUGUCUGGUCCUGAUUACUGAAGCCAGGCCUAGCGCAGGAGAUGUUUUUGACCUCAAGAAAUGUUUUUGACCACAAUCGUAAAUGAAAUAUAAAAAAGAAGCAAUGUGAAAGGCAAACGCGACCCAGAAGACAGAGUAUCUCGAGGCUCUUGGCUCACGCCUCUCCGUCUAUAUUUGCUCCGUACAUAUACUUGGCCUUUUCGUUUUGUUUGUGUGAUGGUUAAACAGACAGAGUUGAUGAGUUCCGGGAUGAUGAGGAUACGGCUUUGCAAUCACAUCUUUUGCAGGAGACUUCCGCCCCUAUCUAGGUUUUCAAAAUCAAAUGUUAAAUGCAUACAAAAGAAUAAUCAUCUGGGCAAAAUGUAAAACACAGACAUCCAACUACCUACAGCCCAACUUAGAUAGAGGUUACAACCCGCCCACCACUGAAGCCCCACUGGGUACCUCUCCUCCACCCUCUCCCCAUCCUGGCCCCCUCCCAAAUUUCUGUUCAUUAUUCCCUUACUUUUCCUCAUAAUUUUACCCUAAAAAUAUGCUUGUUUUGCAUGCAU